GAAAAGUUGGAUGAAUGAGGGGUGUAGGAAAACUGCAUUUACUCCGUUAUUUUGUUGCAAAUGUAAACUGCGACAUCAAAUUUCGAAAUCAAUUCUAAACAGAGCAGAAGCGUGGAAAAUACGAAACGUUGUGCUUUUAAAAAGGUUUCCAUAUAUUUUAAAUGAAUUGAAAAACCUAGAAUAAAAUUGGUAAGCAUAUAUCACACAUUAUUCUUGUCUUUAAACCUCUACUGAUGUCAUUCAACAACUGUCAAAAAGAUGUAAUUUCUCACGAUGGGGAAAAUAUUUUGAACAAGAGCAUUUUAAAACUUACCGUUGGGCAAUUUUUGCUUAUCGACCUUCACACAAAGCAAAUUCUUAAAUUCUUAAUUUUUUGAAUCUUUAUGACUUCGAUUGACUGUUUUACGAUUCGAAUUGUGCGUAAAGUUGUUAUCUUUCUUGUUAGGUUGUCGUCAAACCAUUUUCACGUGAGAGCAGCUACUGGUGGCCAACUGAUAUUGUCUGGUCUUUCUCCGUAACACUAAAUGUCACAAACACUCGUCCUAGUCUACUUAGCAGUGGCACAAUUUUGCCAGAUAUGGCGUGUAUAGUUGUCAUGAGGCUUUUUAAACAACUAUAUUUUGGAGAUUUUGACUUAAAAGGCAA